AGUGAACGCUGGCGGCAUGCCUUACACAUGCAAGUCGAACGGCAACGCGCUUUGAGGUGCCUACUAGUGGUGGCGGGGUGAGUAAUACAGCCGAACGCGCCCGAUCCUGCUUGUUAACGGGGCGUAACGUUCGGUAAUACCCCCUACGAUCGAAGCAUGAAAGCGGGGGACCGCAAGGCCUCUUGGGGCCUGAGGGGCCGGUGUCAGACUAUGUAGUUGUUGGGAUAUAAGCUUACCAAGCCCACGAUCGGUAGCUGUUCUGAGAGGAUGAUCAGCCACACUGGAACUGAGACACGGUCCAGACUCCUACGGGAGGCAGCAGUGGGGAAUAUUGGACAAUGGGCGCAAGCCUGAUCCAGCCAUGCCGCGUGCAGGAUGAAGGCCUUCGGGUUGUAAACCGCUUUUGUACGGAAAGAAAAGCAUUCUUUUAAUACAGGAGGGUCAUGACGGUACCGAAAGAAUAAGCACCGGCUAACUACGUG
rnacentral:rRNA from 1 species